rnacentral:lncRNA from 1 species
CUGCGCUGACAGGAGCGGGCGGGGGCGGACCUUGCGGAAGUAAAACCAGAAGGAAGUGCUUUCUGGAGAACAAUCCUGGUAUUCCAAUGCUGAGCUUGGAUGGAGCUAUUUCAGCACUUCCUUCUGCCUGAGCUCACCUCCACUGUGAGCUGCUGAGGGUUCCUGCAGCCGUGGAAGCAAUGUGCAGACAAGAAUCUCACAA